ensembl:snRNA U6 U6 spliceosomal RNA
GGUUGCUUCAGCAGUAGUAUACCCAAAUUGGAAAGAAACAGAAAAGAUUGGCAUGGGCGUUGUGCAAGAAUGACAUGUAAAUUCAUGAAGUGUUUCAUAUUUUU